rnacentral:rRNA from 1 species
CCUACGGGGGGCAGCAGUGAGGAAUAUUGGUCAAUGGGCGUAAGCCUGAACCAGCCAAGUCGCGUGAGGGAUGAAGGUUCUAUGGAUCGUAAACCUCUUUUAUAAGGGAAUAAAGUGUGGGACGUGUCCUGUUUUGUAUGUACCUUAUGAAUAAGGAUCGGCUAACUCCGUGCCAGCAGCCGCGGUAAUACGGAGGAUCCGAGCGUUAUCCGGAUUUAUUGGGUUUAAAGGGUGCGUAGGCGGCCUUUUAAGUCAGCGGUGAAAGUCUGUGGCUCAACCAUAGAAUUGCCGUUGAAACUGGUAGGCUUGAGUAUGUUUGAGGCAGGCGGAAGGCGUGGUGUAGCGGUGAAAUGCUUAGAUAGCACGCAGAACCCCGAUUGUGAAGGCAGCCUGCCAAGCCAUGACUGACGCUGAUGCACGAAAGCGUGGGUAGCAAACAGGAUUAGAUACCCCUGGAGUC